ACACUCAAACACCACCAUUUUUAUUUCUUUCACUUUAUUCCUCCCAGGCCAUUUUGUUUUCUUCUUCUUGUUUGCUGCGCACAUGUGAAGGCUCCACAUGGAAGAAAAUUGGCAUUACAUGCAAUUUAGCACAAGGAUUUUUGCCAAUCAUGCAUAUAUCUAUAUAUAUACAUCUGCAAUUCAAUGGCUGCUCCCUCUUUCAAACAUUCUCCUAAGACUAAUCCUCUUCCUUACCACUUCACAACCUUUUACUAAAACGGUAGUUGGAUCACUUCAAUUACGGGCAUCAAAGCUACGCCACCUUCAAACAGAGAUACAUAGUAAGCUCCAAGUACGGGGCCGCACCUAAUCCAACUUCCCUAUUCUCGCCUGCGCUGAAUCUCCCAACAACUUUGAUCCUCAUAGCGUCGGAUUUCUCACCAAUAAUGCCCCUCGUUUUAAGGCUCUUCUUGUCUACAUAGAGCAUAGGUAUUACGGGGAAUCAAUACCAUUCGAAAACAUGGAAGAAGCUCUGAGAAACGAGACCAUUCGUGGCUAUUUCAAUUCUGCUCAAACUUUGGCUGAUUAUGCACAAGUGUUGUUCAGCAUAGCUUUUCUUUCUAAAAUUCCAAAACCAUCCAGAAAAGAGAAAAGAAAAUAAUUGUAAGGACAAAGAAUGAGUGUUAGUUCACGUGAGAGUAAAAACCAAUAAUGUCAAGAUUCUCCACUUUCUUUCUUUCUUUCUUGUGAGAUCGAGUGUGAUACACACUCAAACACCACCAUUUUUAUUUCUUUCACUUUAUUCCUCCCAGGCCAUUUUGUUUUCUUCGAUCUUCUUGUUUGCGCACAUGUGAAGGCUCCACAUGGCCGGAAAGAAGAAAAUUUGGCCCAGCUGAUUGAAUUGGCCGUUUGGGUUAGAAUGUAUGAUUUGUUGAUAAUAUUAGCUGAUGGUAGAAAGUUGUUUGAUAAA